AACGAACGCUGGCGGCAUGCCUAACACAUGCAAGUCGAACGAGACCUUCGGGUCUAGUGGCGCACGGGUGCGUAACGCGUGGGAACCUGCCCUUAGGUUCGGAAUAACUCCCCGAAAGGGGUGCUAAUACCGGAUAAUGUCUUCGGACCAAAGAUUUAUCGCCUUUGGAUGGGCCCGCGUUGGAUUAGCUAGUUGGUAGGGUAAAAGCCUACCAAGGCGACGAUCCAUAGCUGGUCUGAGAGGAUGAUCAGCCACACUGGGACUGAGACAUGGCCCAGACUCCUACGGGAGGCAGCAGUGGGGAAUAUUGGAAAAUGGGCGAAAGCCUGAUCCAGCAAUGCCGCGUGAGUGAUGAAGGCCUUAGGGUUGUAAAGCUCUUUUACCCGGGAUGAUAAUGACAGUACCGGGAGAAUAAGCUCCGGCUAACUCCGUG
rnacentral:rRNA from 1 species